AUGCUGAAUGCCAACCUUCAAUCUAAACUGAUUUUUUUAUUUCUUAUGUGCUAUACAAAUAGUUGAAGGUUAAUUAGCAGUGUAACUGUAAGUAGUGAUGCUGCCAGUCUCUUUCAGACAAGA